UGGGGAAUAUUGCACAAUGGGCGCAAGCCUGAUGCAGCCAUGCCGCGUGUGUGAAGAAGGCCUUCGGGUUGUAAAGCACUUUCAGCGAGGAGGAAGGUGGUGAACUUAAUACGUUCAUCAAUUGACGUUACUCGCAGAAGAAGCACCGGCUAACUCCGUGCCAGCAGCCGCGGUAAUACGGAGGGUGCAAGCGUUAAUCGGAAUUACUGGGCGUAAAAGCGCACGCAGGCGGUUUGUUAAGUCAGAUGUGAAAUCCCCGGGCUCAACCUGGGAACUGCAUUUGAAACUGGCAAGCUAGAGUCUCGUAGAGGGGGGUAGAAUUCCAGGUGUAGCGGUGAAAUGCGUAGAGAUCUGGAGGAAUACCGGUGGCGAAGGCGGCCCCCUGGACGAAGACUGACGCUCAGGUGCGAAAGCGUGGGGAGCAAAACAGGAUUAGAUACCCUGGUAGUCCACGCUGUAAAACGAUGUCGAUUUUGGAGGUUGUGCCCUUGAGGCGUGGCUUCCGGAGCUAACGCGUUAAAUCGACCGCCUGGGGAGUACGGCCGCAAGGUU
rnacentral:rRNA from 1 species